rnacentral:rRNA from 1 species
GAGUUUGAUCCUGGCUCAGGACGAACGCUGGCUGCGUGCUUAACACAUGCAAGUCGAACGCUGAAGCCGACAGCUUGCUGUUGGUGGAUGAGUGGCGAACGGGUGAGUAACACGUGAGUAACCUGCCCCUGAUUUCGGGAUAAGCCUGGGAAACUGGGGGUAAUACCGGAUAUGACCAAUCUUCGCAUGAGGGUUGGUGGAAAGUUUUUCGAUCGGGGAUGGGCUCGCGGCCUAUCAGCUUGUUGGUGGGGUAAUGGCCUACCAAGGCGACGACGGGUAGCCGGCCUGAGAGGGCGACCGGCCACACUGGGACUGAGACACGGCCCAGACUCCUACGGGAGGCAGCAGUGGGGAAUAUUGCACAAUGGGGGAAACCCUGAUGCAGCGACGCAGCGUGCGGGAUGACGGCCUUCGGGUUGUAAACCGCUUUCAGCAGGGAAGAAGCGAAAGUGACGGUACCUGCAGAAGAAGUACCGGCUAACUACGUGCCAGCAGCCGCGGUAAUACGUAGGGUACGAGGGUUGUCCGGAAAUAUUGGGCGUAAAGAGCUCGUAGGUGGUUGGUCAGGUGGGGGGUGGAAACCCCACGCUUAAAGUUGCGGGGGCAGAAGGUACGGGCUGAAUAGAAUGCAGUAGGGGAGUUUGGAAUUUCUGGUGUAGCGGUGAAAUGCGCAGAUAUCAGGAGGAACACCGGUGGCGAAGGCGGGACUUUGGGCUGUAACUGACCCUGAGGAGCGAAAGCAUGGGGAGCGAACAGGAUUAGAUUCCCUGGUAGUCCAUGCCGUAAACGUUGGGCACUAGGUGUGGGGGACAUUCCACGUUCUCCGCGCCGUAGCUAACGCAUUAAGUGCCCCGCCUGGGGAGUACGGUCGCAAGGCUAAAACUCAAAGGAAUUGACGGGGGCCCGCACAAGCGGCGGAGCAUGCGGAUUAAUUCGAUGCAACGCGAAGAACCUUACCAAGGCUUGACAUACACUGGACCGUUCUGGAAACAGUUCUUCUCUUUGGAGCUGGUGUACAGGUGGUGCAUGGU